rnacentral:rRNA from 1 species
GAUGAACGCUAGCGGCAUGCCUAACACAUGCAAGUCGAGGGAGAGGUUACCUUCGGGUAACCACAACCGGCGCACGGGUGCGUAACGCUUAUACAAUCUGCCUUUCGCGUAGGGAUAGGCCGAAGAAGUUGGGAUUAAUACCUAAUGGUAUAUAAGAUGGGCAUCGUUUUUAUAUUAAAGCUACGGUGGUUAAAGAUGAGUAUGCGUUCGAUUAGCUAGUUGGAGAGGUAACGGCUCCCCAAGGCGACGAUAGAUAGGGGUUAUGAGAGGGAUGUCCACCACACUGGAGCCGAGAUACGGACUACAAUCGUACGGGAGGCAGCAGUGAGGAAUACUGGACGAUGGACGGUAGACUGAUACAGCCACGCCGCGUGCAGGAUGAAGGUCCUAUGGAUUGUAAACUGCUUUUGUAAGGGAAGAAUACGGAGUACGUGUACUUUGAUGACGGUACCUUACGAAUAAGCAUCGGCUAACUCCGUG